rnacentral:rRNA from 1 species
UACAAGCUUGCUUCUAUGACGUUAGCGGCGGACGGGUGAGUAACACGUGGGCAACCUGCCUGUAAGACUGGGAUAACUUCGGGAAACCGAAGCUAAUACCGGAUAGGAUCUUCUCCUUCAUGGGAGAUGAUUGAAAGAUGGUUUCGGCUAUCACUUACAGAUGGGCCCGCGGUGCAUUAGCUAGUUGGUGAGGUAACGGCUCACCAAGGCAACGAUGCAUAGCCGACCUGAGAGGGUGAUCGGCCACACUGGGACUGAGACACGGCCCAGACUCCUACGGGAGGCAGCAGUAGGGAAUCUUCCGCAAUGGACGAAAGUCUGACGGAGCAACGCCGCGUGAGUGAUGAAGGCUUUCGGGUCGUAAAACUCUGUUGUUAGGGAAGAACAAGUACGAGAGUAACUGCUCGUACCUUGACGGUACCUAACCAGAAAGCCACGGCUAACUACGUGCCAGCAGCCGCGGUAAUACGUAGGUGGCAAGCGUUAUCCGGAAUUAUUGGGCGUAAAGCGCGCGCAGGCGGUUUCUUAAGUCUGAUGUGAAAGCCCACGGCUCAACCGUGGAGGGUCAUUGGAAACUGGGGAACUUGAGUGCAGAAGAGAAAAGCGGAAUUCCACGUGUAGCGGUGAAAUGCGUAGAGAUGUGGAGGAACACCAGUGGCGAAGGCGGCUUUUUGGUCUGUAACUGACGCUGAGGCGCGAAAGCGUGGGGAGCAAACAGGAUUAGAUACCC